rnacentral:rRNA from 1 species
UACGGAGGGUGCGAGCGUUGUCCGGAAUCACUGGGCGUAAAGGGCGCGUAGGCGGCGCGGAAAGUCGUCGGUGAAAGCUCGGGGCUCAACCCUGAGUCUGCCGGUGAUACUCCCGCGCUCGAGCUCACUAGAGGCAGAUGGAAUUCCGGGUGUAGCGGUGGAAUGCGUAGAGAUCCGGAAGAACACCGGUGGCGAAGGCGGUCCACUGGGCAGUCACUGACGCUGAGGCGCGAAAGCUCGGGGAGCGAACGGG